UACGUAGGGUGCGAGCGUUGUCCGGAAUUAUUGGGCGUAAAGGGCUCGUAGGCGGUUUGUCGCGUCGGGAGUGAAAUCCACUGGCUUAACUGGUGGCUUGCUUUCGAUACGGGCAGACUGGAGGUAUGCAGGGGAGAACGGAAUUCCUGGUGUAGCGGUGAAAUGCGCAGAUAUCGAGAGGAACACCUGCGGCGAAGGCGGGUUGCUGGGCCGACACUGACGCUGAUGCGCGAAAGCCAGGGGAGCGAACGGG
rnacentral:rRNA from 1 species